AGGGCUAUAAGCCAAGCGGUAAGGCAUCUUACUUUGACAGCGACAUGCGUUGGUUCAAAUUCAGCUAGCCCAGCCA
rnacentral:tRNA from 1 species